GAUGCUAAAGUUAAUCUGAACUCUAUAUCUUUAUUCUCAGAGUCAAGUCCAGGCAUCAGUCAGUUGAAAGUAUCAAUCGAAAAUUAUGAUGAAAUUAUUAAGAAAUUAUCGAGGAAGAUCAUCUGGAUCUAACAAGGUACCUCCAAAACCUAACCUUUCAGAAGUACAAUCAAAAAAGAAAUUCUUAGAAGAAUUAGAUAAAAUUAUACUGAAUCAAUUUGAUAGAAUUUCUUCUUAUAAAACUCUUGAAGAAACUGGUUCUAUAUUUAAUCUGUGUGCUUGUAUAUACGAUUUGAAGAUUAGGCCAGACACUUUACCUGAAUUGAAACCUGUGAACUAGCCAAUCUUAGACCUAUCUCCCUCAUCUAGUAAGUUUAGUUCAAUCCCUUUAUCUAAACAAAUUCAUGAAACUUUAAGGAUAAAGAAACCAGUAAUCCCUUAGGAACUAGUACUUCAUUAGGUUUUAGUGAUCUCUUAGUCUCAAAAAACCCUGAGAAUAAGAGAAUAGUUAGUAGAAAGAAUAUAGUUAGUUAAUCAUUUAUCUCAAAGAAUAUUGAAGAUAUACUAAUUUCUAACUUAUAAGCUUGUAGUUCAAAUCCCUAGGAUAAUAAAUUAUUAUCCUAGAACAAUCUUUGUGGAUUUACAGUUGAUAGAAACCUCUGACAACUCAUCCACUAUCCAUUUCA
rnacentral:lncRNA from 1 species